GUUGCUCAGGUAAGUCUUAAACUCCUGGCCUCAAGCAGUCAUCCUGCCUCAGCUUCUCAAAGUGCUGGAACAAAAUACUGACUUUUAGAAAUCAGUGUGUGCUUUUCAUAAUGAGAAUCUACUUUUUAAGAUACUGUAGGCCAGGUGCAGUGGCUCACAUCUGUAAUCCCAGCACUUUGGGAGGCCAAGGCAGGUGGAUCACCUGAGCCCAGGAGGUUGAGGCUGUACUGAGCUAUGUUCAUACCACUUCACUUCAGCAUGGGCAACAGAGCAAGACCCUGUCUCCAAAAAAUAAAAAAG